UUCCAGGUGUAGCGGCGAAAUGCGUAGAGAUCUGGAGGAAUACCGGUGGCGAAGGCGGCCCCCUGGACGAAGACUGACGCUCAGGUACGAAAGCGUGGGGAGCAAACAGGAUUAGAUACCCUGGUAGUCCACGCUGUAAACGAUGUCGAUUUGAAGGUUGUGGUCUUGAGCCGUGGCUUUCGGAGCUAACGCGUUAAAUCGACCGCCUGGGGAGUACGGCCGCAAGGUUAAAACUCAAAUGAAUUGACGGGGGCCCGCACAAGCGGUGGAGCAUGUGGUUUAAUUCGAUGCAACGCGAAGAACCUUACCUACUCUUGACAUCCAGAGAACUGAGCAGAGAUGCUUAGGUGCCUUCGGGAACUGUGAGACAGGUGCUGCAUGGCUGUCGUCAGCUCGUGUUGUGAAAUGUUGGGUUAAGUCCCGCAACGAGCGCAACCCUUAUCCUUUGUUGCCAGCGAUUCGGUCGGGAACUCAAAGGAGACUGCCGGUGAUAAACCGGAGGAAGGUGGGGAUGACGUCAAGUCAUCAUGGCCCUUACGAGUAGGGCUACACACGUGCUACAAUGGCGCAUACAAAGAGAAGCGAUCUCGCGAGAGUCAGCGGACCUCAUAAAGUGCGUCGUAGUCCGGAUUGGAGUCUGCAACUCGACUCCAUGAAGUCGGAAUCGCUAGUAAUCGUGGAUCAGAAUGCCACGGUGAAUACGUUCUCGGGCCUUGUACACACCGCCCGUCACACCAUGGGAGUGGGUUGCAAAAGAAGUAGGUAGCUUAACCUUCGGGAGGGCGCUUACCACUUUGUGAUUCAUGACUGGGGUGAAGUCGUAACAAGGUAACC
rnacentral:rRNA from 1 species